rnacentral:rRNA from 1 species
UACGUAGGGUCCGAGCGUUAAUCGGAAUUACUGGGCGUAAAGCGUGCGCAGGCGGUUUUGUAAGCCAGAUGUGAAAUCCCCGGGCUUAACCUGGGAAUGGCAUUUGGGACUGCAAAGCUGGAGUACGGCAGAGGGAGGUGGAAUUCCACGUGUAGCAGUGAAAUGCGUAGAGAUGUGGAGGAACACCGAUGGCGAAGGCAGCCUCCUGGGCUAGUACUGACGCUCAUGCACGAAAGCUGGGGGAGCGAACAGG